rfam:Aura virus polyprotein 1 and polyprotein 2 genes, complete cds.
GCGGACGGACUAGUACUUGUACUACAGAAUUAACUGCCGUGUGCCGCCCGCUAAACUAGCCCCAAUCAUCGAAAAUGGAGAAACCGACAGUGCACGUUGACGUAGACCCCCAAAGUCCGUUUGUGCUACAACUGCAGAAGAGUUUCCCACAAUUCGAGAUUGUGGCUCAGCAGGUCACUCCGAAUGACCAUGCUAAUGCCAGAGCUUUUUCGCAUCUGGCUAGUAAACUGAUCGAACAUGAGAUCCCCACCUCAGUUACGAUCUUGGACAUAGGAAGCGCACCAGCUCGUAGAAU